rnacentral:rRNA from 1 species
AAGGAUACACGAAAUUCCACCUGCCUCAUUUUAACACCUAAAACUUAAUCUCCAGGUGCAGACGCCUGGAUUACCCUGAAAGACAAGAAGACCCUAUAGAAUUUAAGUACCAGCACCCCCAAUACCCAUAAGUACUUUGGUUGGGGCGACCAAGGAUUAACAAAAACAUCCUAAACUAAAUAGACUAUAAUUCACACCACUGAGCCAUAAACAUGAACAAAGACCAAAUUACCUUAGGGAUAACAGGCUUAUCUUCCUAAUGAGUUCAAAUUACCAGGAAGGUUUGGCACCUCGAUGUUGGCUUAGAGUAACCCAUCAAUGCAGCAGUUGAUGAGCGUUAGUUUGUUCAACUAUUAAAUCUCU